rnacentral:rRNA from 1 species
AUUGAACGCUGGCGGCAGGCCUCACACAUGCAAGUCGAACGGUAACAGGAAGAAGCUUGCUUCUUUGCUGACGAGUGGCGGACGGGUGAGUAAUGUCUGGGAAACUGCCUGAUGGAGGGGGAUAACUACUGGAAACGGUAGCUAAUACCGCAUAACGUCGCAAGACCAAAGAGGGGGACCUUCGGGCCUCUUGCCAUCGGAUGUGCCCAGAUGGGAUUAGCUAGUAGGUGGGGUAACGGCUCACCUAGGCGACGAUCCCUAGCUGGUCUGAGAGGAUGACCAGCCACACUGGAACUGAGACACGGUCCAGACUCCUACGGGAGGCAGCAGUGGGGAAUAUUGCACAAUGGGCGCAAGCCUGAUGCAGCCAUGCCGCGCGUAUGAAGAAGGCCUUCGGGUUGUAAAGUACUUUCAGCGGGGAGGAAGGGAGUAAAGUUAAUACCUUUGCUCAUUGACGUUACCCGCAGAAGAAGCACCGGCUAACUCCGUG